CAGUCGCCGCGGGAAUACGUAGGUGGCAAGCGUUGUCCGGAAUUAUUGGGCGUAAAGGGCUCGCAGGCGUUUCUUAAGUCUGAUGUGAAAGCCCCCGGCUCAACCGGGGAGGGUCAUUGGAAACUGAGAAACUUGAGUGCAGAAGAGGAGAGUGGAAUUCCACGUGUAGCGGUGAAAUGCGUAGAGAUGUGGAGGAACACCAGUGGCGAAGGCGACUCUCUGGUCUGUAACUGACGCUGAGGAGCGAAAGCGUGGGGAGCGAACAGGAUUAGAUACCCCCGUAGUCCCUGUCUCUUAUACA
rnacentral:rRNA from 1 species